rnacentral:rRNA from 1 species
GUCCUUAUGAAUUUAAUUUAAGGUUUGACCUGCCCACUGAAAUUAUUUGAAGGGCCGCAGUAAUUUGACUGUGCAAAGGUAGCAUAAUCAUUAGUUUUUUAAUUAAAAGCUUGUAUGAAGGGUUGGACGAGGUAAAUUCUGUCUCUAUUUAAUUUAAUAUAGAAUUUAAUUUUUAAGUUAAAAAGCUUAAAUUUUUUUAAAAGACGAGAAGACCCUAUAGAUCUUUAUAUUAUAGAUAUUAAUUUUAAUUAAGAAUAUUUUAUUUUUUAUUAUUUAUAUUAUUUUAUUGGGGUAAUAGGAAGAUUAAUCAAAUUCUUUUUUUUAUUUUUACAUUAAUAAAUGAUUAUAUGAUCCAAUUUUAUUGAUUAAAAGAUUAAGUUACCUUAGGGAUAACAGCGUAAUUUUUUUAGAGAGUUCAUAUCGAUAAAAAAGUUUGCGACCUCGAUGUUGGAUUAAAAAUUAUCUUAGGUGCAGAAGUUUAAGAUUUUGGUCUGUUCGACCAUUAAAUUUUU